UGUAUCUAAACUGUACAUGUAUUGUGUUACAAGAGGGGGAGAGAGAGAGAGUUCAGGAAACCUUUGUCUUCUUCCUCCCUUCCAGUCUCUCUCUCUCUCUCUCCUCACUUGUAGCAUUGAUGCCGCUGCACAGAUCCAAACUGGGUUAAGAACUCGAUCCCAUACCACCGGUUCUUAAUAUACAAAUCAAAUCCAAUCUUUCGCCAGCCUAACAUGAGUUGCACACUAGUUUUCUUCCCAAGAACACUAAGCAAAGAGAAUAUGAUGGGUUGGUUGCACAACGAGGGCAUUUCCUGCAAUGAAGGGAGACGCUCCUCUCCCGUCACAGCAUAUGCAUCAAUCUAUCAACACCCAACUGGCCUACUCUCACUGUAAUCAUCCUUGGGAUCAUCUCGACAUGAGAUUUCUACGAUCCUCCACGUUGAUCGGCCCGUCUCAUCACUUGGUGAAACACACAAAUGCCUUGACUAUUUGAUUUGAGAUUUCCUGGAGAGUGCAAAAUAUUUUAUGCACUGUUUUCUUGCGUAGAUCGGAAAAGAAGGCCUAUAGAUGUGAUUGAGAUGAAAUCUACCGCUUUCUACUUCGUCUUCCUCCUCCUCCUGCACUACGCAGUGAGGGUGGGGUCCACUCCGCCGAGUUAUUUCCAUUAAGGCCGCCCGAAUUUGUCGCCUCCUUCUCUGCCUUCGACAGCUCCCUACUCUCCUCGCGUGCUGCUUUCUACCUCCUCUCUCUCUCUCUCUCUCUCUCUCUCUGUCUUUUGUUAUCCGCGCCUCGUUCUUUCNNNNNNNNNNNNNNNNNNNNUCCUCUCUCUCUCUCUCUCUCUCUCUCUCUGCUUUUUGUAUCCGCGCCUCGUCUUUCUUUGCCAUUGAUAGUUUCCCCGGGAUUAGCGGGAUCGAUGACAGGAAGAAGCGAAAGAGGGUACCGGGAAGAAGCGUAGUCGGUGCCGGGAGAGGGAGGAG
rnacentral:lncRNA from 1 species